rnacentral:rRNA from 1 species
UACGAAGGGGGCGAGCGUUGUUCGGAAUUACUGGGCGUAAAGGGCGCGUAGGCGGUCUGCUAAGCGUGCGGUGAAAGCCUGGGGCUCAACCCCAGGUCUGCCGUGCGAACUGGUGGACUAGAGCACUGUAGAGGCAGGUGGAAUUCCGGGUGUAGCGGUGGAAUGCGUAGAGAUCCGGAAGAACACCGGUGGCGAAAGCGGCCGACUGGGCCUGUCC